GACACACGGCGGGUCCGCCCGGGCGGUCUGGCCUGGCAGGUGUCCCGAAAUGUCCCUGGGGAGCGCGGGAGCAGCAGGGUUGUGUGGGGCAGAGCGGUGACUGCCUGCACCUGUCUCCGAAUCUCUCAUCCUGCUAAUGCACCCGCUUGUCGCUGCGGGGUUCGGCCCCGUGCUCAGAGGGGCGAGAGGCUGCUCACGGGGAGGAGCUGCUCGGAGGUGCCCCACGGGCAGCACGCCUGGGCGAGGAACAGCAUUGGCCCGUGGCUCUGCUCACAGAAGAUGAGUUUCCCAGGCCGUGGGGACCCCUCAGAGGUUCCAGCCCACGUCCUUCAGCCGUGCUGUGCCCGAUGCCCUAGAUUGGGAGAUCUGGAUGGCUUUCAAAAACGUGUUUGAGUCAAAUGCCAGUAGCUGACUCUGUGCAAGAGGAAUGGGGUGAAGCUCGGGGGCCGGCGAGUGCUGCCGGAGUUGCUCUCCAUGAAAAAAAGAAAAAAAAGAACUUCCCACUGCUGGACAUCUUUGGUAAAAUAAUGAAUGCUUUGCCUUCAUCUGCAAGCUUGGAGAUGCUGCAAAGCAUUCUUCUGAAGCUGGAAACCCUACGGUGUUACUGAAAAAUUCCCUGGGUUAAAAAAUAAAAUAAAUAUAAAGAUA